UAGGCCUAUGAAAAAUAUUUCUAACCCAAAUUUGCACUUUGGGUACUUUUAGGCCUG
rnacentral:tRNA from 1 species